UACGAAGGGGGCUAGCGUUGUUCGGAAUUACUGGGCGUAAAGCGCGCGCAGGCGGUCGUCCAAGUCGCGUGUGAAAGCCCCCGGCUCAACUGGGGAGGGUCACGCGAUACUGGUCGACUCGAAGGCAGGAGAGGGUAGUGGAAUUCCCGGUGUAGUGGUGAAAUGCGCAGAUAUCAGGAGGAACACCGGUGGCGAAGGCGGGUCUCUGGGCAACAACUGACGCUGAGGAGCGAAAGCGUGGGGAGCGAACAGG
rnacentral:rRNA from 1 species